rnacentral:misc_RNA from 1 species
GAAGGCUACAAUAUAUUGCCUUCACAAUAACCUAGAGGUCAUGGAUUCAAAUUACAGGAACAGCCUCCUUCAAAGUACAAGAGGAGGAACCGGAUUCCAGAAGGCUACAUGAUAUCUCUGAUGCAUGUAACAAUGGCACUCAAUCAAGAUGUUUACAUAAGCAUUUGCUCAAUGUAGCUUACCCCAAGUGAUUCCCAUAUCAU